rnacentral:lncRNA from 1 species
AUACUAAUGAGCAAUUUGGAGUUGAUUUGAGUUGGGGUCGUGCAAAAAGUCGAUUAGAUCAAUUGAAGAAAUUUUACAUCAUGCAUAAGAUAAUCCAGAAGAUCCACGUAUUGAAACAAAUUUUUUCCAGUCUAUUAUAUUAUUAUACACAAUUUUGGGUGAUGUUCCUAAUAACUGAAAUAAAAUAUAUUAUAAUAAAAUUUAUUAGUUUUUAAAAUAAUUAUUUAGUAUUUAUUUAUAAUUUUUAUUAAUUAUUUUGAAAUAGUGAUUUUGAUAUUUA